rnacentral:rRNA from 1 species
CUACGGGGUGCUCCAGUGAGGAAUAUUGCACAAUGGGGGGAACCCUGAUGCAGCAACGCCGCGUGGAGGAUGACGCAUUUCGGUGUGUAAACUCCUUUUAUAUGUCAAGAAAAUGACGGUAGCAUAUGAAUAAGCACCGGCUAACUCCGUGCCAGCAGCCGCGGUAAUACGGAGGGUGCAAGCGUUACUCGGAAUCACUGGGCGUAAAGGACGCGUAGGCGGGUUGGAAAGUCAGGUGUGAAAUCCUACAGCUUAACUGUAGAACUGCACUUGAAACUUCUAAUCUAGAGUAUGGGAGGGGGAGAUGGAGUUAGUGGUGUAGGGGUAACAUCCGUAGAUAUCACUAGGAAUACCUAAAGCGAAGGCGAUCUCCUGGAACAUUACUGACGCUAAGGCGUGAAAGCGUGGGGAGCAAACAGGAUUAGAUACCCCUGUAGUC